rnacentral:rRNA from 1 species
UACGUAGGGUGCGAGCGUUGUCCGGAAUUAUUGGGCGUAAAGAGCUUGUAGGCGGUCUGUCGCGUCUGCUGUGAAAAUCCGGGGCUCAACCCCGGACUUGCAGUGGGUACGGGCAGACUAGAGUGUGGUAGGGGAGACUGGAAUUCCUGGUGUAGCGGUGAAAUGCGCAGAUAUCAGGAGGAACACCCGUAGCGAAGGCGGCACUCUGGGCCGGAACUGACGCUGAGGAGCGAAAGCGUGGGGAGCAAACAGG